rnacentral:rRNA from 1 species
AGCAGCCGCGGUAAUUCCAGCUCCAAUAGCGUAUAUUAAAGUUGUUGCAGUUAAAAAGCUCGUAGUUGAAUUUCGGGAUCAAUACGUCGGUCGUGCUUCGGUACGUACUGGCGUCAUUGAUUUCUCCCUUCUGACGAACCAUGAUGUCAUUAACUUGGUGUCUUGGGAAAUCAGGACUGUUACUUUGAAAAAUUAGAGUGUUUAAAGCAGGCUCACGCUUGAAUACAUUAGCAUGGAAUAAUGAAAUAGGACGUUCGAUCCUAUUUUGUUGGUUUUAGGAUCAACGUAAUGAUUAAUAGGGAUAGUUGGGGGCAUUAGUAUUCAAUUGUCAGAGGUGAAAUUCUUGGAUUUAUUGAAGACUAACUACUGCGAAAGCAUUUGCCAAGGAUGUUUUCAUUAAUACAAGAACGAAAGUUAGGGGAUCGAAGACGAUCAGAUACCGUCGCAGUCUUAACCAUAAACU